UGAUUUACAUUUGAGUGAGUGGCGAACUGGUGAGUAACACGUGGGAAACCUGCCCAGAAGCGGGGGAUAACACCUGGAAACAGAUGCUAAUACCGCAUAACAACUUGGACCGCAUGGUCCGAGCUUGAAAGAUGGCUUCGGCUAUCACUUUUGGAUGGUCCCGCGGCGUAUUAGCUAGAUGGUGGGGUAACGGCUCACCAUGGCAAUGAUACGUAGCCGACCUGAGAGGGUAAUCGGCCACAUUGGGACUGAGACACGGCCCAAACUCCUACGGGAGGCAGCAGUAGGGAAUCUUCCACAAUGGACGAAAGUCUGAUGGAGCAACGCCGCGUGAGUGAAGAAGGGUUUCGGCUCGUAAAACUCUGUUGUUAAAGAAGAACAUAUCUGAGAGUAACUGUUCAGGUAUUGACGGUAUUUAACCAGAAAGCCACGGCUAACUACGUGCCAGCAGCCGCGGUAAUACGUAGGUGGCAAGCGUUGUCCGGAUUUAUUGGGCGUAAAGCGAGCGCAGGCGGUUUUUUAAGUCUGAUGUGAAAGCCUUCGGCUCAACCGAAGAAGUGCAUCGGAAACUGGGAAACUUGAGUGCAGAAGAGGACAGUGGAACUCCAUGUGUAGCGGUGAAAUGCGUAGAUAUAUGGAAGAACACCAGUGGCGAAGGCGGCUGUCUGGUCUGUAACUGACGCUGAGGCUCGAAAGUAUGGGUAGCAAACAGGAUUAGAUACCCUGGUAGUCCAUACCGUAAACGAUGAAUGCUAAGUGUUGGAGGGUUUCCGCCCU
rnacentral:rRNA from 1 species